rnacentral:rRNA from 1 species
UACGGAGGGUGCAAGCGUUGUUCGGAAUUAUUGGGCGUAAAGCGCGCGCAGGCGGUCUGAAAAGUCUAUGGGUGAAAUGCCGGGGCUCAACCCCGCGCAUGCCCAGGAUACUGUCAGACUGGAGACACGUAGAGGCAAGCGGAAUUCCGGGUGUAGCGGUGGAAUGCGUAGAGAUCCGGAAGAACACCGGAGGCGAAGGCGGCUUGCUGGGCUUGGUCUGACGCUGAGGCGCGAAAGCGUGGGGAGCGAACAGG